rnacentral:rRNA from 1 species
AGCGAACGUUAGCGGCGGGCCUAACACAUGCAAGUCGAACGAGAAAAUCCCUUCGGGGGUGAGUACAGUGGCGCACGGGUGAGGAACGCGUAGGUAAUCCACCCUCUGGCGGGGGACAACAUUCCGAAAGGAAUGCUAAUACCGCGUAAGACCACGCUCACUACGGUGAAAGUGGUUAAAGGUGCCUCAAAGCACCACCAGAGGACGAGCCUGCGUCCCAUCAGCUUGUUGGUAAGGUAAUGGCUUACCAAGGCUAAGACGGGUAGCUGGUCUGAGAGGAUGAUCAGCCACACUGGCACUGGAACACGGGCCAGACUCCUACGGGAGGCAGCAGUGAGGAAUAUUGGGCAAUGGGCGCAAGCCUGACCCAGCCACGCCGCGUGUGUGAUGAAGGCCUUCGGGUCGUAAAGCACUGUGGGGAGAGACGAAACAGCGCAUCAGGAAAUGGUUGCGCCUUGACGGUACCUCCUUAGCAAGCACCGGCUAACUCUGUGCCAGCAGCCGCGGUAAUACAGAGGGUGCAAACGUUGCUCGGAUUUACUGGGCGUAAAGCGCGUGUAGGCGGACUCGCAAGUCGGUUGUGAAAUCCCUGGGCUCAACCUAGGAACUGCAUCCGAAACUGCUUGUCU